AGACCCGAAACCCGGUGAUCUAGCCAUGGGCAGGUUGAAGGUUGGGUAACACUAACUGGAGGACCGAACCGACUAAUGUUGAAAAAUUAGCGGAUGACCUGUGGCUGGGGGUGAAAGGCCAAUCAAACCGGGAGAUAGCUGGUUCUCCCCGAAAGCUAUUUAGGUAGCGCCUCGUGAAUUCAUCUCCGGGGGUAGAGCACUGUUUCGGCUAGGGGGCCAUCCCGGCUUACCAACCCGAUGCAAACUGCGAAUACCGGAGAAUGUUAUCACGGGAGACACACGGCGGGUGCUAACGUCCGUCGUGAAGAGGGAAACAACCCAGACCGCCAGCUAAGGUCCCAAAGUCAUGGUUAAGUGGGAAACGAUGUGGGAAGGCCCAGACAGCCAGGAUGUUGGCUUAGAAGCAGCCAUCAUUUAAAGAAAGCGUAAUAGCUCACUGGUCGAGUCGGCCUGCGCGGAAGAUGUAACGGGGCUAAACCAUGCACCGAAGCUGCGGCAGCGAACGUAUCACCCAAGACAACUUUACGGAGUUGACGAUUGACGGAGCGAAGCGACGUCAAAGCGUUCAUUAAAGUCGAGUUGGCUUAGGGAUACGUUCGUUGGGUAGGGGAGCGUUCUGUAAGCCUGUGAAGGUGUGUCGUGAGGCAUGCUGGAGGUAUCAGAAGUGCGAAUGCUGACAUAAGUAACGAUAAAGCGGGUGAAAAGCCCGCUCGCCGGAAGACCAAGGGUUCCUGUCCAACGUUAAUCGGGGCAGGGUGAGUCGACCCCUAAGGCGAGGCCGAAAGGCGUAGUCGAUGGGAAACGGGUUAAUAUUCCCGUACUUGGUGUUACUGCGAAGGGGGGACGGAGAAGGCUAUGUUGGCCGGGCGACGGUUGUCCCGGUUUAAGCGUGUAGGUGUGUGUUCCAGGUAAAUCCGGUUCACUUUAACACUGAGGCGUGACGACGAGGCACUACGGUGCUGAAGCAACAAAUGCCCUGCUUCCAGGAAAAGCCUCUAAGCAUCAGGUAACACGAAAUCGUACCCCAAACCGACACAGGUGGUCAGGUAGAGAAUACCAAGGCGCUUGAGAGAACUCGGGUGAAGGAACUAGGCAAAAUGGUGCCGUAACUUCGGGAGAAGGCACGCUGACACGUAGGUGAAGUGAUUUACUCAUGGAGCUGAAGUCAGUCGAAGAUACCAGCUGGCUGCAACUGUUUAUUAAAAACACAGCACUGUGCAAACACGAAAGUGGACGUAUACGGUGUGACGCCUGCCCGGUGCCGGAAGGUUAAUUGAUGGGGUCAGCGUAAGCGAAGCUCCUGAUCGAAGCCCCGG
rnacentral:rRNA from 1 species